rnacentral:rRNA from 1 species
UGCGUAGGCGGGCUAAUAAGUCAGUGAUGAAAUCUUUCGGCUCAACCGAGAAACUGCCAUUGAUACUGUUAGUCUUGAGUUCGGUUGAGGUAGGCGGAAUGUGUAAUGUAGCGGUGAAAUGCUUAGAUAUUACACAGAACACCAAUUGCGUAGGCAGCUUACUAGACCGACACUGACGCUGAGGCACGAAAGCGUGGGGAGCGAACAGGAUUAGAUACCCUGGUAGUCC